AGGACGAACGGCUGGCGGCGGUGCUUAACACAUGCAAGUCGAGCGAGGCCCUCUCCUUCGGGAGGGGUGCCCUAGCGGCGAACGGGUGAGUAACACGUGGGCAACCUGCCCCUAGCACUGGGAUAACUCCGGGAAACCGGGGCUAAUACCGGAUAUGACCGCGGAGGGCAUCCUCUGCGGUGUAAAGGAUUCUGGCUAGGGAUGGGCCCGCGGGCCUAUCAGCUUGUUGGUGGGUAACGGCCUACCAAGGCUCUGACGGGUA
rnacentral:rRNA from 1 species